rnacentral:rRNA from 1 species
UACGUAGGGAGCAAGCGUUGUCCGGAAUCCUUGGGCGUAAAGCGCGCGUAGGCGGCCUCAUAAGUCCGUUGUGAAAGUCAAAGGCUCAACCUUUGAAAGCCGAUGGAUACUGUGAGGCUAGAGUCCGGAAGAGGCGAGUGGAAUUCCUGGUGUAGCGGUGGAAUGCGCAGAUAUCGGGAGGAACACCAAUGGCGAAGGCAGCGCGCUGGGACGGUACUGACGCUGAGGCGCGAAAGCGGGGGGAGCAAACAGG